rnacentral:lncRNA from 1 species
GGCACUACAAUGGGAUGACCAAUUGAUUAAUAAAUUGGAUAUUAGGUUCUCGUGUAGGUGGAUCUCCCUAUGGACCUCCAAGGGCAUUGAUAAAUAAUUAAGAAUGUAAGUUUAUUGUUAUUGUACAUUUAAAUGUGAAAUUAAAAUACGAUUCGGGUUAUUACUUUCGUAGAACGAUUUUAGAAACUCAUAAAAAUAAGUAUGAAACUUACGUUUUUAUAUAAAACAAAUGUAUUUAAAAAAGAUAAACAGCUUCAUUGACUGUUUUAUGAUUUUUACUAACAUUUAAUUUUUCGUAUCGGUAUUAGGUAUGAUAUUUUUACUAGAUUAGUAUAGAUCAUUCUCAUAUUUAACCAUUUUAGAUCAAGAAAACUAAGAUCCAGAUUAUGAGCUAUAGGAGGGUUGCAAAUAAAAGUUACCUUCCGGAUCCUAUCAGAGUUGCUCAACGGAGAUUAAACUCCAAAUAAUUUUUAUUUCGUUUUAUUUUAACUAUUUGUUCCGUUAUUAUAAACUUCUAUAAAGGAAAAUUCUCAUAAUUUUAUUGAAUAUUAUAAUUUACUGUGUAAGAAAUAUAAAUUCUAAAUUCUAAAUUGAUUUCACUUAUAGUUGAUAUAAUUUAAUAUUUUUAUUUUCUUAACUUUUGAACUUUUACAGUCCUGCCCUGCUGUAGCAAAGUCCAAAGUGAACAUAGCUUAUUUUCAAACUUUCACAUCUGGGAGGUUUUACCUUUGCAUAUUGUUGUACACAUUUCCUCAUUAAUGGUAUUUGAUUAUUUAAAAAAAGAUUAUCAAAGGUAACAUUUAAUUGUGUAUUAUAAAUUCUUCUUUUUCUUUAAAAUGAUUUUAGUAAAAUAUUUAGAAAGAUUAAAUAAAUUUCCUUGUCUUUGCAAAAAUUAAUUUAUUAUAAUUUUUUUAUUAUAAAUUACUUAUGAGUUUAAGAUUUUCACAAAUUAAUAAAUUAAUCAUUUAAUAUAUAAAACAAUAUGCCGGAUUUAUUAUAAAAUAAUGCAUGUGAAAAUGUUGGUUCAAAAAGAUGGUCAUUGAGGCAAUCGCUAAACGCCACGUGUAGCACAAAGAAACAUUCUUCUACUCACUACUGCUGUGCAUUUGGCAUUUGGUUAUUGGACCAAAUUCAUUCUUAUACUACUUUUUUUUUUUUUUGCAUAUUCUUAUUUAUAUUAAUAAGAAUAUGCAAAAAAGUUACUUUGAAAGAAAUUUAAAAUUAAUAAAUCAGCGUAUGAUGAAAUGAUUGGAUUUUGAUGAAUAAUUUUAAAUUAGUAUUUGGUUAAUUAUUAUUUGUUU